rnacentral:rRNA from 1 species
AACGAACGCUGGCGGCAGGCCUAACACAUGCAAGUCGAGCGAGGACUUCGGUUCUAGCGGCGGACGGGUGAGUAACGCGUGGGAAUGUGCCCUUCUCUACGGAAUAGCCCUGGGAAACUGGGAGUAAUACCGUAUACGCCCUAUUGGGGAAAGAUUUAUCGGAGAAGGAUCAGCCCGCGUUGGAUUAGGUAGUUGGUGGGGUAAUGGCCUACCAAACCGACGAUCCAUAGCUGGUUUGAGAGGAUGAUCAGCCACACUGGGACUGAGACACGGCCCAGACUCCUACGGGAGGCAGCAGUGGGGAAUCUUAGACAAUGGGGGCAACCCUGAUCUAGCCAUGCCGCGUGAGUGAUGAAGGCCUUAGGGUUGUAAAGCUCUUUCAGCUGGGAAGAUAAUGACGGUACCAGCAGAAGAAGCCCCGGCUAACUCCGUG